rnacentral:rRNA from 1 species
GACAGAGGGUGCAAACGUUGUUCGGAAUCACUGGGCGUAAAGGGCGUGUAGGCGGUUUCGUAUGUCUGGCGUGAAAGCCCCGGGCUCACCUCGGGAAGUGCGUCGGAAACUGCGAGACUAGAGUCCCGGAGAGGGAGGUGGAAUUCCAGGUGUAGCGGUGAAAUGCGUAGAUAUCUGGAAGAACACCGGUGGCGAAGGCGGCUGGCUGGAUCGCAACUGACGCUGAGGAACGAAAGCUAGGGGAGCAAACAGG